UACGUAGGGUGCAAGCGUUGUCCGGAAUCAUUGGGCGUAAAGAGCGUGUAGGCGGCCCGGUAAGUCCGCUGUGAAAGUCCAGGGCUCAACCCUGGGAUGCCGGUGGAUACUGUCGGGCUCGAGUCCGGAAGAGGAGUGUGGAAUUCCUGGUGUAGCGGUGAAAUGCGCAGAUAUCAGGAGGAACACCGGUGGCGAAGGCGGGUCUCUGGGCAGUAACUGACGCUGAGGAGCGAAAGCGUGGGGAGCGAACAGG
rnacentral:rRNA from 1 species